GUGUCAGCAGCCGCGGUAAUACAGAGGGGGCGAGCGUUAUUCGGAAUUAUUGGGCGUAAAGGGCGCGUAGGCGGCUUUGCAAGUGACGGGUGAAAGCCCUCGGCUUAACCGAGGAACUGCCUGUCAGACUGUGAGGCUUGAGACCGGGAGAGGUGAGUGGAAUUCCCAGUGUAGCGGUGAAAUGCGUAGAUAUUGGGAGGAACACCAGUGGCGAAGGCGGCUCACUGGACCGGAACUGACGCUGAGGCGCGAAAGCGUGGGGAGCAAACAGGAUUAGAUACCCGUGUAGUCC
rnacentral:rRNA from 1 species